rnacentral:lncRNA from 11 species
GUAUUUCCAUGAUUAACAUCCAGUGGAUGCUGAACAUAGAACUGUGUUAGAGGACCUAAGGAUUCCUAGAAAGCUCUUCUCUCAGAUUUCGGAAUUCCAUGCGAUGGAGUUAUGGAAGCCAGCUAAAGUAGUAACCAAGUGUUAUAAUGGUGUGGCAUGAAAGAAGUCAUCCAAACAACCAUCCAUUCAAGCUUAUGUAAGAAGCCUUUUCC